GUGCUCACUACUUGUGCAUUUUAGCUCAUCAAUUUGUUCUGAUUCCAGCUGUACCAACUGUCCUUUGAGUGAUGAUGAAAGUACUUCUGCCUUUUUCUGCCCACGUCUGAUGCAAUGGAGCCUUUUACAUAACACCAACUCCUGUAACAAUCUGUCUCCUCUAUACACAGCAUUUUCAGAGGCUUGUAACAUUUUCACAGGACAUCUGUGUGUGCCACCUGCAAGUGGGGAGGAUGCUGCAGGAGACAGGGGGAUCUUCUGUGCAUCCACCCCAUCUCUGUUGUUUUUGUGCCUCAUAAUGAGCACAUCUGACACCAGACAAGUCUCAGCUUUUCCCUUUGUGGAUGCCCAGGGAAUGCCAAGGUCACAGAAUAGAUCUGUUUUCAUGGCUUCUUGUCUGCUUUUUGCACAUACAAAUGAGAUUGCUGAGUAAGAAGAGAGGGGAAAUAUGAACUAACACAACAGAGUAUCCUACAGGUGGAAAACACCUGGGAGAUAAGGCAAAUAAACUUGUUCUUUACUCCUAGCUGCA
rnacentral:lncRNA from 1 species